AGUGGUGUAGUGUAGUAGUAGAACGCUUGCCUAGCAUGUAUGAGGCACUGAGUUCGAUUCUCAACACCAUAU
rnacentral:tRNA from 1 species